GCGGCUGUGGUGGAACUGGUAGACACUCGGGACUUAAAAUCCCGUGGGCAUUGCCCGUGCGGGUUCGAUUCCCGCCAGCCGCA
rnacentral:tRNA from 1 species